rnacentral:rRNA from 1 species
UACGUAGGGGGCAAGCGUUGUCCGGAAUCAUUGGGCGUAAAGCGCGUGUAGGCGGUUUGGUAAGUCCGCUCUGAAAGUCCGGGGCUCAACCCCGGAAGGCGGGUGGAUACUGUCAGACUAGAGUGCGGAAGAGGCGAGUGGAAUUCCCGGUGUAGCGGUGAAAUGCGCAGAUAUCGGGAGGAACACCAGUAGCGAAGGCGGCCUCGCUGGGCCAUUCCUGACGCUGAGA